rnacentral:rRNA from 1 species
AGUGAACGCUGGCGGUAGGCCUAACACAUGCAAGUCGAACGGCAGCACAGUAAGAGCUUGCUCUUACGGGUGGCGAGUGGCGGACGGGUGAGGAAUACAUCGGAAUCUACUUUUUCGUGGGUGAUAACGUAGGGAAACUUACGCUAAUACCGCAUACGACCUACGGGUGAAAGCAGGGGAUCUUCGGACCUUGCGCGAUUGAAUGAGCCGAUGUCGGAUUAGCUAGUUGGCGGGGUAAAGGCCCACCAAGGCGACGAUCCGUAGCUGGUCUGAGAGGAUGAUCAGUCACACUGGAACUGAGACACGGUCCAGACUCCUACGGGAGGCAGCAGUGGGGAAUAUUGGACAAUGGGCGAAAGCCUGAUCCAGCCAUACCGCGUGGGUGAAGAAGGCCUUCGGGUUGUAAAGUCCUUUUGUUGGGAAAGAAAAGCAGCAGGUUAAUACCCCGCUGUUCUGACGGUACCAAAAGAAUAAGCACCGGCUAACUUCGUG